AUUCUAGUAGCUUAACAUAUAGCAUUGGUCUUGUAAACCAAAGAUUGAAAAACCUCAACUUUCCUAGAAUA
rnacentral:tRNA from 1 species